GCAGACACAUUCCAGCCAAUCAGCAGCAGACCCUCCCUCCCAGACCCUCCCACGUCCUGGACAGCUCACUAAGAAUGCAGCUUCAAAAUGGAUGCUGUCCAGGAGGGAGGGAGGGUCUGGGAGGGAGGGUCUGCUGCUGAUUGGCUGGACUGUGUCU
rnacentral:miRNA from 1 species